GUGUGUGUGUGUGUGUGUGUCUAAAAUAGGGGGAAAAGCAUUGUUUUACAUUUAUCUGUGUAUAUUUUAUUCCCUCUUCUCUGCUUCUUACCUGGUCAAGGAAGAGGGAGAUCGCAUUCCCUGGUGGUCCGUUGGCAUGGUCGAGGGAGCCAGCUGCUGCAGACUGUAGAGGGGGGCCCACAGCACACUCGGUCUUUAUUUUCCAGCUCCUCUCUCUAUAACUCUUGCAAGACCGGCCUGCGUGUGGUGCGCUGCCAUGGUAACCCGUGGCAACGCUAAGGUGGCCACGGGGCUUGCGAGAGUUAGAGAGUAGCUGGAAAGGAAAGACCGAGUGUACAGGUAGCAGGGGCCCACAGUGCACCUAUAUAUAGCGAGAAUUGGGACCUGGGACUCUCAGAGUUUAGUGUAGUAUUUAGUGUACAUGCCUAAAAUACUAGUUAGAGAGAUAGAUUGAUAGAUAGAGCUAUCAAGAGGACAUCAUCUUAUAUCCCAGUAUGCCAUUAUUUUACAUGUUUCACUGUUAUGUAUUACUUAUUUUACAUGAUUCUAUAGGGCUACGGUUAGAGGUUUUUUUUAAUCUCAGACAACACCAUU